rnacentral:rRNA from 1 species
AGAGUUUGAUCCUGGCUCAGAGCGAACGCUGGCGGCGUACUUAACACAUGCAAGUCGUACGAGGAUCGUCGGGUUAGCAAUAAUUCGGCGGUUCGAGUGGCGCACGGGUGAGUAACACGUGGGUAACCCACCCUCGAGACCGGGAUACCCUCUCGAAAGGGAGGCUAAUACUGGAUACGUUCCUCGGGACGCAAGAUCUG